rnacentral:rRNA from 1 species
AGAUUAAGCCAUGCAUGUCUCAGUACAUGCCAAAUUAAGGUGAAACCGCGAAUGGCUCAUUAAAUCAGUUAUGGUUCCUUAGAUCGUACUCACAUUUACUUGGAUAACUGUGGUAAUUCUAGAGCUAAUACAUGCAAAAUAGAGUUCCGACCAGAGAUGGAAGGAACGCUUUUAUUAGAUCAAAACCAAUCGGUGGUGGGUUCGCCUGUCCAUCGUUAACUUUGGUGACUCUGAAUAACUUUGUGCUGAUCGCAUGGUCUCGUACCGGCGACGAAUCUUUCAAAUGUCUGCCUUAUCAACUGUCGAUGGUAGGUUCUGCGCCUACCAUGGUUGUAACGGGUAACGGGGAAUCAGGGUUCGAUUCCGGAGAGGGAGCCUGAGAAACGGCUACCACAUCCAAGGAAGGCAGCAGGCGCGCAAAUUACCCACUCCCGGCACGGGGAGGUAGUGACGAAAAAUAACGAUACGGGACUCAUCCGAGGCCCCGUAAUCGGAAUGAGUACACUUUAAAUCCUUUAACGAGGAUCCAUUGGAGGGCAAGUCUGGUGCCAGCAGCCGCGGUAAUUCCAGCUCCAAUAGCGUAUAUUAAAGUUGUUGCGGUUAAAAAGCUCGUAGUUGAAUCUGUGUGCCACGCUGUCGGUUCACCGCUCGCGGUGUUUAACUGGCAUGAUUGUGGGACGUCCUACCGGUGGGCUUAGCUCCGUGUAACAGCGGAGCGGUCCAACUAAUAUCCCAUCGCGGUGCUCUUCAUCGAGUGUCGAGGUGGGCCGGUACGUUUACUUUGAACAAAUUAGAGUGCUUAAAGCAGGCUAUUUUCGCCUGAAUACUGUGUGCAUGGAAUAAUGGAAUAGGACCUCGGUUCUAUUUUGUUGGUUUUCGGAACCCCGAGGUAAUGAUUAAUAGGGACAGAUGGGGGCAUUCGUAUUGCGACGUUAGAGGUGAAAUUCUUGGAUCGUCGCAAGACGAACAGAAGCGAAAGCAUUUGCCAAAAAUGUUUUCAUUAAUCAAGAACGAAAGUUAGAGGUUCGAAGGCGAUCAGAUACCGCCCUAGUUCUAACCAUAAACGAUGCCAGCUAGCGAUCCGCCGAAGUUCCUCCGAUGACUCGGCGGGCAGCUUCCGGGAAACCAAAGCUUUUGGGUUCCGGGGGAAGUAUGGUUGCAAAGCUGAAACUUAAAGGAAUUGACGGAAGGGCACCACCAGGAGUGGAGCCUGCGGCUUAAUUUGACUCAACACGGGAAACCUCACCAGGCCCGGACACCGGAAGGAUUGACAGAUUGAUAGCUCUUUCUUGAUUCGGUGGGUGGUGGUGCAUGGCCGUUCUUAGUUGGUGGAGC